UAGUCCACGCAGUAAACGAUGAAUGUUAGUCGUUGGUGUCCUAGAGACAUCAGUGAUGCAGUUAACACAUUAAACAUUCCGCCUGGGGAGUACGGUCGCAAGAUUAAAACUCAAAGGAAUAGACGGGGACCCGCACAAGUGGUGGAGCAUGUGGUUUAAUUCGAAGAUACGCGAAGAACCUUACCUAGCCUUGACAUACUAAAGAAUUCGGCAGAGAUGCUGGAGUGCCUUCGGGAGCUUUAAUACAGGUGCUGCACGGCUGUCGUCAGCUCGUGUCGUGAGAUGUUGGGUUAAGUCCCGCAACGAGCGCAACCCUCGUCACUAGUUACUAACGAUUCGGUCGAGGACUCUAGUGAGACUGCCUUCGCAAGGAGGAGGAAGGUGAGGACGACGUCAAGUCAUCAUGGCCCUUACGGCUAGGGCAACACACGUGCUACAAUGGUUAGGACAAUGAGAAGCAAUAUCGCGAGGUGGAGCAAAUCUAUAAACCUAAUCU
rnacentral:rRNA from 1 species